GCCUGGGUGGCUCAGUCGGUUAAGCAUCUGACUUUGGCUCAGGUCAUGAUCUCACGGUUCGUGAGUUCGAGCCCCGCAUCGGGCU
rnacentral:tRNA from 1 species